AGAGUUUGAUCCUGGCUCAGAGCGAACGCUGGCGGCAGGCUUAACACAUGCAAGUCGAACGAAGUCUUCGGACUUAGUGGCAGACGGGUGAGUAACGCGUGGGAACGUGCCCAUCGGUUCGGAAUAACCAAGGGAAACUUUGGCUAAUACCGGAUACGCCCCUUGGGGGAAAGAUUUAUCGCCGAUGGAUCGGCCCGCGUCUGAUUAGCUAGUUGGUGAGGUAAUGGCUCACCAAGGCGACGAUCAGUAGCUGGUCUGAGAGGAUGAUCAGCCACACUGGGACUGAGACACGGCCCAGACUCCUACGGGAGGCAGCAGUGGGGAAUAUUGGACAAUGGGCGCAAGCCUGAUCCAGCCAUGCCGCGUGAGUGAUGAAGGCCUUAGGGUUGUAAAGCUCUUUUAUCCGGGACGAUAAUGACGGUACCGGAAGAAUAAGCCCCGGCUAACUUCGUGCCAGCAGCCGCGGUAAUACGAAGGGGGCUAGCGUUGUUCGGAAUUACUGGGCGUAAAGCGCACGUAGGCGGCGAUUCAAGUCAGAGGUGAAAGCCCGGGGCUCAACCUCGGAACUGCCUUCAAAACUAUCGGUCUGGAGUUCGAGAGAGGUGAGUGGAAUUCCGAGUGUAGAGGUGAAAUUCGUA
rnacentral:rRNA from 1 species